UCUGUUUGAUGUGCUAUUCAAGAUCCCUGUACAAUUGUGUUAUUCAAGAUACAAUGGCACUCGAUGAUGCUUGCUAAGAAGGUCUGCAGUACCCACUGGACUGUAGCUUGCCAGAUGACUGGAAGAUGGAUAAAAUUUGGACCAUGGCUCGGUAUGGUCAAUUGGAGAAGACAUUACUAUGACUACAAAGAUCUGUUUUUUCAGGUAUGCACAUAUAAGAUGGAUUUCUUCUGAACCGAUUGGAAGCAUACGGCAACAUGGGCGUACACAAGCGCUAGCCUAAGCAUGCAGGUAGAUAUUAUAGACAUCUUGUUGAUGCAGGUGUGCAAGGAUGCAAUAUUCAUGACCGAGCGCAACGUCGGUGGAUCUGUAUCUUUGGGUUCAGAAUUUUGAAAGAAAGGGGAUGUGGGAAACAAUAAGAGGGGAGCUCUACCUCCAGCAGCACUUUCCCGGUCGUCGGCGUCGUGCUUCCAGCUACGGCCGCUGCAGACGAUGGCGGGCAGCAGCCGCCGACGCCUUCCGGCGCGGCUGUGCACAACUUCCCGAUGAGCACCGUGGACUGGAUGCUCUGGAGGUAUGUGCAAGAAGAGGAGCCGACCUUCUCGAAGCCGGGGAUGACAGUGGAUAGCUCAAUGAAUCGUCGGUUGAUCUUCUCUCGGCGCUUCCGCUUCUACUCCGCUGCAAGAGAGAGGGGCGGCAGGG